UGGGGAAUUUUGGACAAUGGGCGAAAGCCUGAUCCAGCAAUGCCGCGUGUGUGAAGAAGGCCUUCGGGUUGUAAAGCACUUUUGUCCGGAAAGAAAUCCUUGGCUCUAAUACAGUCGGGGGAUGACGGUACCGGAAGAAUAAGCACCGGCUAACUACGUGCCAGCAGCCGCGGUAAUACGUAGGGUGCAAGCGUUAAUCGGAAUUACUGGGCGUAAAGCGUGCGCAGGCGGUUUGCUAAGACCGAUGUGAAAUCCCCGGGCUCAACCUGGGAACUGCAUUGGUGACUGGCAGGCUAGAGUAUGGCAGAGGGGGGUAGAAUUCCACGUGUAGCAGUGAAAUGCGUAGAGAUGUGGAGGAAUACCGAUGGCGAAGGCAGCCCCCUGGGCCAAUACUGACGCUCAUGCACGAAAGCGUGGGGAGCAAACAGGAUUAGAUACCCUGGUAGUCCACGCCCUAAACGAUGUCAACUAGUUGUUGGGGAUUCAUUUCCUUAGUAACGUAGCUAACGCGUGAAGUUGACCGCCUGGGGAGUGCGGUCGCAAGAUUAAAACUUAAAGGAAUUGACGGGGU
rnacentral:rRNA from 1 species